rnacentral:rRNA from 1 species
ACUCCUACGGGAGGCAGCAGUGGGGAAUAUUGCACAAUGGGCGCAAGCCUGAUGCAGCCAUGCCGCGUGUGUGAAGAAGGCCUUCGGGUUGUAAAGCACUUUCAGUCGUGAGGAAGGUAGUGUAGUUAAUAGCUGCAUUAUUUGUACGUUAGCGACAGAAGAAGCACCGGCUAACUCCGUGCCAGCAGCCGCGGUAAGUACGGAGGGUGCGAGCGUUAAUCGGAAUUACUGGGCGUAAAGCGCAUGCAGGUGGUUGUUAAGUCAGAUGUGAAAGCCCGGGGCUCAACCUCGGAAUAGCAUUUGAAACUGGCAGACUAGAGUACUGUAGAGGGGGUUAGGAAUUUCAGGUGUAGCGGUGAAAUGCGUAGAGAUCUGAAGGAA